AUUGAACGCUGGCGGCAUGCCUAACAAAUGCAAGUCGAGCGAGCGGCGGACGGGUGCGUAAUGUAUGGGGACUGCCCGAUAGAGGGGUAUAACUACUGGAAACCGUAGCUAAUACCGCAUACUAUCGGAUAACCCAUACUGGUUUAGCUAGUAGGUGGGGUAAUGGCUCACCUAGGCGACUAUCCCUAGCAGGUCUGAGAGGAUGAUCAGCCACACUGGGACUGAGACACGGCCAAGACUCCUACGGAGGCAGCAGUGGGGAAUAUUGCACAAUGGGCGCAAGCCUGAUGCAGCCAUGCCGCGUGUAUGAAGAAGGCCCUAGGGUGGUAAAGUACUUUCAGUCGAGAGGCGUUACCGACAGAAGAAGCACCGGCUAACUCCGUGCCAGCAGCCGCGGUAAUUC
rnacentral:rRNA from 1 species